ensembl:lncRNA
ACUGUCUGUGUCUACAGUGUGUACUUGUAGUGGAGCUCGCUCAAUGCUGUGACAAUGCAAGACAUUAAAAAUCCAUAAAGUCUUACUCUGCGCUCACACGAGCCAGCGGAAAUGUGACCGAUAAUGACCGGUCGUUUUCUAUGUACGAGUGCGACACCGGGAGCUGAUUCCAGCGAUAACGGCGGACGGACGAGGCUUCACUGAUCGGCUGUGUACAUGUUCAACCAAACCUACGCUACAACGCAGUAAAGCCCAGAGUAGUCUGACUCCACAUUCUCUCCCAAAACACAAACCAGAGCUCCUGAUACAGAUCUGUCUCAAAGGCUCGGAGACAAACAACGCUAAUGUCGGCAGUUGGGUUUACAACGCUGAGAGGGGAAAAUGCCAAACUAAAUGAACCGCUGUAAAUGAUGGAGAACAUUCCAGAUCUUUCCCAGAGACCACACAUCACCCUUGUGUCGUGGGAUCGCUGGGUUUUUAGAGAGCGUUUCUUUAGAAAUGCAGUCCCACUGUGCAUUCGGAAUUCAAACCAGACUUUCGAAGGAAGAAGCGGAAGUAGUAGAACAUAGUUUUUAUGCUUGGUUGAGAUGGAGACGUAUGUGAUUAUGGGUGAUGGAAACAAGUUCCUGGAAGAAAUAGUGUGCGGCAAGUUGACAAAUGUCUACUACAACUACCUUACUUACCGUACAGUAGGCCAAAGGCGGUAAUAUGUCCGAACUCUCAGUAUUCAGAACAGUAGGCGAGGAAUACCCCGAUGACCUACUGCUUCCGCCUCGACUCUGCAUCAUGUCCAGCUUGUAUUCAUACUACACACGUAUACUGAUCAGUACGUACUGUAUCACCGGCCGAGCAGUACGUAGGUACGGUCACAGUACGGCAUUUCAGACGCAGCCAGAGUGUGCACUUUAGCGCGAUACUAGCGAUCUCUCUGUAAAGGCAGCCCGUGGAGACAUUUGAAUGGUUCAUGAAGUAAUAUUGUCGUAUCGCACACCUCUAACCUCGGACUUGCAUGGUCACCGCACCACAUAAAUAAUAAACUAAUCAGGAGAACGCUACGAUCGUUUGACAUGG